AUGCGCCGUGCGGCGUCUUUCUUUCGCCGCAGCCCGGUCCCGGUACCCUCGGCGGCGAUCGAUAAACUAAUUACGGAGGCAAAUAAUGGCAGUGGGAGAGGAGGGAGGCGAGGAGCCGGCUGCGGGGAGCUCUGCCAGGAGCCGGAGGCAGCGGGAGAGGAGGAGGAGGAGGAGGAGGAGGAGAGCCGGCCGUGGGGCUCAGCCCCUCUGCUCCCCAGGGCAGGAUGCGACCCGCUGGGGCUGCAGAGGCAGCCGCACGCCGGGGGCUGGGGGUGCAGCCAGAGCCUCUCCCCCCAUCCGUCACGGCCGCAGCCCCCAGCUGAUCAGAUCGCGUCUUCCAGCAGGAAUAAGCCUGCUUCUGCCCUGCCUCGGGGGCGCGGGGAAGGUGGCCCAAGCCUGUUUGUUUGGCUGAUUAGCAGAAAGCAAAGCCUCCCCCACCGCAGGCGUGGGUGCAAGGAAGCCAGACAGCCUGCGGCCAGGCGUCAGCAGAGCCACCGAAGCAGCUCGGGGCUGGAGACGAGCACAGACAGGGCAGUGCCACGCAGGCACGGGGAGACAGAGCUGCUCGGGGCCGUGCAGAGGGGAGAUGCUCCCGGCAGCGCCUCGGCCCCUGGGGCAGGCUCGGGGUCUGCAAAGGGAACGAGCACCGGGGGCUCCAGGCUCGGGGUCUGCAAAGGGAACGAGCACCGGGGGCUCCUCGGGCAGACGCUGUGCUCUGGGGGCGAGGGCAGCGAGGCUGCACGGCACCACCGCGCGCCCUACAAACGCUCUCAGUUUCGGGUGCGCGAGCAGGGUCCUUCCCACCACAGCACGGGACGUGCCAGCUGGGCACCCCCGCGGAGGAGGACGAGGUUUUCACCCCCCGGGGACCCAUCCCCCAGGGCAAAGAGGGUUUGGCGGGAUGACCCAGAAUUUUUGCCAUCGAUUAACAAGAAAAACAGGAGAGACCCACAGGAGGGCUCCGGGCGGGGGCACGCCAACUGCUGGCACCGCGGCUGCCUCCCAUCCCAGCGGCCCGGCACAGCCUCUGCCCCCCUGCCCCGUGCCCCAGGGGGGGGUCCCGCUGCCCUCCCUGCGGAUCGGGGCGAGAGGUCGCUUCGCCCUCUCCCUCCGUUGGCAACCGAAGCCCCGGCGCCUUUCCACGCUCGUUUCCAGGACAGGGGUCGGGAGCGCUGGGUUUUUUUAUGGGAGCCUCGUGGAACAGCUGGGAACGGAUGGCAGGAGGCUCGGGGGGGCUUUAAAAGCCGCUUUGCGGUCGCGUAA
rnacentral:lncRNA from 1 species